GGGGGCGUAGCUCAGUGGUAGAGCGCUGGCCUUCAGACCCGGGACUUGCGUGGGUUCGAUUCCUGCCGCCCCUG